rnacentral:lncRNA from 10 species
GCCAGGCUUGACUAGCCACCUCUGGGAUCGACUGAGGGAAAGGCAGACUUGAAUUACUCAGAGAAUAAGCCAGUGGUUCUGUUUUAAUGCUCUGAGUCAGCAGCCUUUUAUAGCUCAAAUCAAGGUCAACAAGAUAUGUAGAGCACCUUCUCUGAGCACUAGCUGGAACACGGCGGCUCUUCUUUCUUCCACUCUGAGACAAGAACACAUGCGCUUUUCCUAGUUUCGCUCUUGUGGCCCAGUCUGGAGUGCAGUGGCACCAUCUCAGCUCAUUGCAACCUCCGCCUCCCCGGUUCAAGCGAUUCUCCUGCCUCAGCCUCCCGAGUAGCUGGGAUUACAGGCACCCGCCACCAUGCCCAGCUAAGUUUUUGUAUUUUUAGUAGAGACGGGGUUUCGCCAUGUUAGCCAGGAUGGUCUCGAGGUCCUGACCUCGUGAUCUGCCCACCUCAGCCUCCCAAAGUGCUGGGAUUACAGGCGUGAGCCACCCCGCCCGGGCAAUUUGUAAAUUUUUAAGAAACGCCCUUUGUUGUACACAAAUUAGACUUCAAUAAAGUUAGCCUUAAAACAGAAAACUAGAGGAAAGGAGAACUGGCUCAAAUUUUCUGUACUUUUCUCCUGUAACCACCCCUCAUUUCCUCCUUGAGCUGUCUCCCUGUCAUGUGAACAUGGUCGUCAACGAGUGGCUUCUAUAAUUGCUCAGACUAUCUUUCCCUCAACUGAAUUCCUUCAGUUCCCUUAGCCCUAAAUUAAAAAGUCUACAUAGCAAGAACUUCUAUUCCUCAUUUUGAAAAUUUUUAUUUCCUCUCAUCAUGUUAUGUCUCUUAACAUUAAAACAAACCAAAAGUAAAGACAUAAGAGAGAUGUUUUAUUUACAUGAGUGAUACAAGAAAAUAAAAAUUGAAUUUAGUUAUGAGCUUGCCAUCUUCUGCUGAAUAUCUCUGGGUCACUUAGGAAAUGGAAUUCAAAAUUAUGGAACUCUAUAUUCGUUGCUAAAGUUUACCACAGCUAUGUUGCCCAGGCUGAUCUCAAAUUUUUGGACUCAAGUAGUCUUUUUACCUCAGCACCCCAAAGCGCUGUAAUUAAUUAAAACAACAAAAUCUGAUUUAAAAUACAUCUUUUUAUUGUAUUUUAUUUAUGAUAUAUGAAAAAAUUGUUUAUGUGAAGCAUCAUUUUUCUGGUUUGAUCGUUUUAAACAAUCAUUUUAUGUGUGUGUGUGUGUGUGUGUGUGUGCUAACUGUAGUCCAAGUCCUUCAUAUAGAUAAUCUCAUUAAAUUUUUUGGAAAAAAUGCCUAUGGUAUAGAUUUUAUUAACAUCCUAUUAAUAUGAGGAAAGUUAAGUUCAGAGGUAGUCUUAAGAUUCAUGAUCACAGACAGGAGACCUGAACCCAAGUAUUCUAAUUCUAAGACAUGAGCAGCUCUCAUCUUCCACAGUUGUUUGAAAGAUCUUUAAUUGCUUUUGAUUUGUAUAGCAGGAAGGAGAAUCCAGUCAUGGAAUAUUAUGGUGGUAAUUGCUUCCAACUGGAACCAGUUAUCAAAAUGUGGCAGGAAAAUCUGGCCUGGUGAAGAAAGAGAAGGUGGCGAAGCUGACUCAGUUCAAGUUCAAGAUCUGCUAUUAAUGUGCUGUCACUGAACACAAAUCAUUACAUUUCCCUGAGCUUCAGUUUUGUUUUUCAAAUUGGAAUAAUUGGAUAAUUAGAUCUCUAAAGCAUACAUCAUCAGUAGAAAAUGAGCAACUUCUCAUUUGGCCUAACACUUUGAGUGGGAAAAUAAACUCAUUUAUGUAUAGUGAUAUUCUACUACUCCCUUAUAGAGUAAACAGUUACGUAAAUGCAAGUCAUUUUGAUUUUUCACAGAAUAGGAUCCCUUUAAAAUAGAUCUAUAUCAAGUCUCAUCCACAAUUAUUUUCUCACAGCUCUGUAUUAUUUGACUGACACACUUUGAAAACAUAGUUUCCAGAGAUCUCACAUAUUUAUUUUAUAUUUAUCUCUUUAACAAGCUAGAAUUUAUACUGAUAUAUGAGAUAAGGCUAUUAGCAAAUUUAAUUUAAUUUUUCUACAGUUUUCAACCAGUUGUUCCCGUGCUAAAUAGUCCAUCCUUCUCCCAUUGAUUUAUUGUAUCAACUUAAUAAAUUUUUAUUUUAUUUUUGUUUCAUAAUAUGUAUACAUUGUGGAAUGGCUAAACAAAGCUAAUUAAUAUAUGCAUUGCCUCACAUAUUUAUCAUUUUGUGGUGAGAACAUUUCAAAUCUACUCUUCCAGCAAUUUUCAAGUAUAUAAUAAAUUGUUAUUAACAAUAAUCAUCAUGUUGUACAAUAGAUAACUAGAACUUAUUUCUCUUGUCAAUAAAAUUUUGCGUUCUUUGACCACCGCCUUUCUAAUUCCUGUCCACCCUCCUUCAGCCUUUUGCGACCAUCAUUCUACUCUCUGCUCUUAUGCUUUUUCUGAUUCCACAUAUAAGUGAGAUCAUGCAGUAUUUGUUUUUCUGUGCCUGGCUUAUUUCACUUAAUGUAUUGUCCUCCAGGUUCAUCCAUGUUGCAAAUUACAAGAUUCCUUUCUUUUUUAAGGCUGAAUAGUAUUCCACUGUGUAUAUACACUGCAUUUUCUUUAUCCAUUCAUCCAUUGAUGAACAUUUAGGUUGAUUCUGUAUCUUGGCUAUUGGGAAUAAUGCUGCAACGAACAUGAGCAGUUAUCUCUUUCACAUACUGAUUUUAUUUCCUUUAGAUAUAUACUCAGCAGCGGGAUUGCUGGAUCACAUGGUAGUUCAAUUUUUAAUUUUUCAAAAAAUCUUUAUAAUGUUUUCCAUAAAGAUUGUACUAAUUUACUUUUCUACCAGUAGUGUACAGGGUUCUUUUUUCUUCACAUUCUCUCCAAAACUUGCAGAAUAGCCAUUCUGACAGGUAUGAGGUGAUAUCACAUUAUGAUUUUAAUUUUCACUUCUCUGGUGAUUAGUGAUGUUGAGCAUUUUUUUAAUAUACCUGUUGGCCAUUUAUGUGUCUUCUUUUGAGAAAUGCCUAUUCAGGUCCUUUUCCCAUUUUUCAAUUGAUUAUUUAUUUUCUUACUAUUGAGUUGUUUGAGCUUCUUAUAUAUUUUGGAUUGAGUGACACUCCUUUGCUGAUAUUCCAUAUAUUUUAAAUAAUGCUAUUUUAUCAUAAAGUAUGAGCACAACCACAAGGCAUUUCUCAAAAGACAAACAAAUAUUCUGUGUUUCAACUGAGCCAGGCUAAUUAGUAGGAAAUGUAAUUAUUGCUCAUCAGGACUGGCUAUAGGAAAAUUGUGUGACCCAUUGCAAAAUGAACAUGAGGGUCCAUCAAAAAGCAUUCAUGUGAUGAUCAUGUCAUCAAAAAGAUGAGCGAUAACAAGUGUUGGAGAGGAUGUGCAGAAAAAAGAACACCUGCACAUGGUUAGGGAGAAUGUCAAUUAGGACAGCCAUUAUGGAAAAUAGUAUGGAGAUUCCUCAAAAAAUUAAAAACAGAACUAACAUAUGAUCCGGCAAUCUCACCACUGGGUAUAUAUCCAAAGGAAAU